ACGAACGCUGGCGGCGCGCUUAAUGCAUGCAAGUCGAACGGUGAACCCGCAAGGGGGAUCAGUGGCGAACGGCUGAGUAACGCGCAAGUAACCUACCUCUAGGCGGGGAAUAAUCCACCGAAAGGUGGACUAAUACCGCAUAUGUUGCCUUACCGCAAGGUAAGUCAACAAAGGCUUCGGCCACCUGGAGAUGGGCUUGCGUCCUAUCAGGUAGUUGGUGAGGUAACGGCCCACCAAGCCUAUGACGGGUAGCUGGUCUGAGAGGACGACCAGCCAGAGGGGGACUGCGACACGGCCCCCACUCCUACGGGAGGCAGCAGCAGGGAAUUUUGCGCAAUGGGCGAAAGCCUGACGCAGCGACGCCGCGUGGGGGAAGAAGGCCUUCGGGUUGUAAACCCCUUUUCUGGGGGAAGAGAUAGGACGGUACUCCAGGAAUAAGCCCCGGCUAACUACGU
rnacentral:rRNA from 1 species